rnacentral:rRNA from 1 species
AUUAAACGCUGGCGGCAUGCCUUACACAUGCAAGUCGAACGGCAGCACGGGGGCAACCCUGGUGGCGAGUGGCGGACGGGUGAGUAAAGCAUCGGAACGUAUCCUGGAGUGGGGGAGUAACGUAGCGAAAGUUACGCUAAUACCGCAUAUUCUGUGAGCAGGAAAGCAGGGGAUCGCAAGACCUUGCGCUCUGGGAGCGGCCGAUGUCGGAUUAGCUAGUUGGUGGGGUAAAGGCCUACCAAGGCGACGAUCCGUAGCGGGUCUGAGAGGAUGAUCCGCCACACUGGGACUGAGACACGGCCCAGACUCCUACGGGAGGCAGCAGUGGGAAUUUUGGACAAUGGGCGGAAGCCUGAUCCAGCCAUGCCGCGUGAGUGAAGAAGGCCUUCGGUUGGUAAAG